AUUGAACGCUGGCGGCAGGCCUAACACAUGCAAGUCGAACGAGUGGCGGACGGGUGAGUAAUGUCUGGGAAACUGCCUGAUGGAGGGGGAUAACUAGUGGAAACGGUAGCUAAUACCGCAUACUAUCGGAUGUGCCCAGAUGGGAUUAGCUAGUCGGUGGGGUAAUGGCUCAUCUAGGCGACGAUCCCUAGCUGGUCUGAGAGGCAGACCGGCCAAACGGGAACUGAGACACGGUCCAGAUUCCUACGGGAGGCAGCAGUGGGGAAUAUUGCACAAUGGGCGCAAGCCUGAUGCAGCCAUGCCGGGUGUAUGAAGAAGGCCUUCGGGUUGUAAAGUACUGUCAGCGGGGAGGCGUUACCCGCAGAAGAAGCACCGGCUAACUCCGUGCCAGCAGCCGCGGUAAUAC
rnacentral:rRNA from 1 species